UGGCUCACUUCAGCAGCACAUAUACUAAAACUAGAAUGAUACAGAGAAGAUUAGCAUGACCCCUACACAAGGAUGACACACAAAUUCGUGAAGCGUUCUUUAUUUUU
rnacentral:snRNA from 1 species